GGCUCAGGAUGAACGCUAGCUACAGGCUUAACACAUGCAAGUCGAGGGGCAGCAUGGAGUUGCUUGCAAACUCUGAUGGCGACCGGCGCACGGGUGAGUAACGCGUAUCCAACCUUCCCUAUAGUAGAGGAUAGCCCGGCGAAAGUCGGAUUAAUACUCUAUGUUUUCCGUUGCAGACAUCUAAGAUGGAACAAAGGCUUGCCGCUAUAGGAUGGGGAUGCGUCUGAUUAGGUAGUCGGCGGGGUAACGGCCCACCGAGCCAUCGAUCAGUAGGGGUUCUGAGAGGAAGGUCCCCCACAUUGGAACUGAGACACGGUCCAAACUCCUACGGGAGGCAGCAGUGAGGAAUAUUGGUCAAUGGGCGAGAGCCUGAACCAGCCAAGUAGCGUGCAAGGAUGACGGCCCUAUGGGUUGUAAACUGCUUUUAUGCGGGGAUAAAGUUCACUACGUGUAGUGUUUUGUAGGUACCGCAUGAAUAAGGACCGGCUAAUUCCGUGCCAGCAGCAGC
rnacentral:rRNA from 1 species